rnacentral:rRNA from 1 species
UCGCCUUAGAGUUUGAUCCUGGCUCAGGAUGAACGCUGGCGGUAUGCUUUACACAUGCAAGUCGUACGAGAGUUUUUAACUCAAGUGGCGGACGGGUGAGUAACACGUAAGAAUUUGCCUUUAGGAGGGGGAUAACAACUGGAAACGGUUGCUAAUACCCCAUAUGCUUUCGAGUAAAAUGGAUUUUCCGCCUAAAGAGAAGCUUGCGGCUGAUUAGCUUGUUGGUGAGGUAAUGGCUCACCAAGGCGACGAUCAGUAUCUGGUUUGAGAGGACGAUCAGACACACUGGAACUGAGACACGGUCCAGACUCCUACGGGAGGCAGCAGUGGGGAAUUUUCCGCAAUGGGCGAAAGCCUGACGGAGCAAUACCGCGUGAGGGAUGACGGCCUAUGGGUUGUAAACCUCUUUUUUCAGGGAGGAAUCAAUGACGUGUACCUGAAGAAUAAGCAUCGGCUAACUCCGUGCCAGCAGCCGCGGUAAGACGGAGGAUGCAAGUGUUAUCCGGAAUCACUGGGCGUAAAGCGUCUGUAGGUGGUCAAAUAAGUCAACUGUUAAAUCUUGAGGCUCAACCUCAAAAUCGCAGUCGAAACUAUUCGACUAGAGUAUAGUAGGGGUAAAGGGAAUUUCCAGUGGAGCGGUGAAAUGCGUAGAGAUUGGAAAGAACACCGAUGGCGAAGGCACUUUACUGGGCUAUUACUAACACUGAGAGACGAAAGCUAGGGUAGCAAAUGGGAUUAGAUACCCCAGUAGUCCUAGCCGUAAACAAUGGAUACUAGAUGUUGAACAGAUCGACCUGUGCAGUAUCAAAGCUAACGCGUUAAGUAUCCCGCCUGGGAAGUAUGCUCGCAAGAGUGAAACUCAAAUGAAUUGACGGGGAAGGGC